rnacentral:rRNA from 1 species
UACGGAGGGGGCUAGCGUUGUUCGGAAUUACUGGGGCGUAAAGCGCACGUAGGCGGCUUUGUAAGUUAGAGGUGAAAGCCCGGGGCUCAACUCCGGAAUUGCCUUUAAGACUGCAUCGCUAGAAUUGUGGAGAGGUAAGUGGAAUUCCGAGUGUAGAGGUGAAAUUCGUAGAUAUUCGGAAGAACACCAGUGGCGAAGGCGGCCAACUGGACCAACACUGACGCUGAGGCGCGAAAGCGUGGGGAGCAAACAGG